UCACUAAUGAUAAGGUUUCAGUGACUGUAGCUGCAUUAUGGCAAUAACCAGACAUUUCUUGUCUGUGAAACCGGCCAUAAACAUGAGUUAACUCUCGGCAAAUAGCUCCUGUGGACGACAGCCAUCUAUCCCACUACCCGUCGGCUGAGCAUGCAUG